CCUGGUUUCACGUUUGAUUCUCAGCUCUCUCUACGCGUGGUUCACAUGAAUACGACAGCAUGCUGGGCUCUCUUUUCCAAUGCUCCAGCGGAUAAAUCAUCCCCAGUUGAUCCACCGCGAUAUCAAGCAGUUUCUUUGAGCAGGAUAGGCAGUGAUGCAAUCAGUUGCUUACAUUUACCCCAAGCUGAUGUGCACAUCUUU
rnacentral:lncRNA from 1 species